rnacentral:rRNA from 1 species
UACGGAGGGGGCUAGCGUUGUUCGGAAUUACUGGGCGUAAAGCGCACGUAGGCGGCUUUGUAAGUUAGAGGUGAAAGCCCGGGGCUCAACUCUGGAAUUGCCUUUGAGACUGAGUGGCUUGAGUACGGGAGAGGUGAGUGGAAUUCCCAGUGUAGAGGUGAAAUUCGUAGAUAUUGGGAAGAACACCGGUGGCGAAGGCGGCUGACUGGACAUGUAUUGACGCUGAGGUGCGAAAGCGUGGGGAGCAAACAGG